rnacentral:lncRNA from 1 species
CAAUGAUGCCGUAUUAAGCAGGCACUUGGAGUGUGCUUCCAGAGUUGCAUUUUUCAGCAGCACAGCCGGGUGUUUAGGAGAGUGAUGACCGUAAUGAGGCUGAAGUAGUUUGAUGUGUUCACAGCUUUAUGAAGGUGGUUGUAUGGAUAGUCGAUACUCCAGGAAGACACAUGCUGAUAUUUCAGUAUGAUUAACACUGGCAACAGACAGGCUACUCUUCAAGAAGCAGCGCCUGUGGAGGAGUAAGAUGCUGUCUGAAAACAUGCAGGCCUUGUGCUGACAAUCACGGCUGCUGUGAAUUCACGUAUGUAGCAGUUCUUUCAUGGCCAGAAGAUACUGGACUGUGGAGCAGAUUUCUCAAAAUGUCCUGGAGUGGGAGGAAGAAGAAACUAUCUGUGGUCAUUCAGUCGAAAACGAUAAGGGUAUUCUGACUAAAAGCUGGGAACCUCAGAGCAGCUGCUUCAAUCUACUCGAACCAAAAGAACACGGAACGGUUACAUGAAGCGGGACUAUGUAAAUGAGGUAUAGUGGGUCACAUCUAUAAUCCCGACACACAGGAGAUGAAGGCAGGAGGAUUAGAAGUUCAAGGCCAUCAGCUACACAGAAAAUUUGAAACCAUCUCGGGCUACAGGAGAUGGUAUCUCAAGAGCAAACAAAACACACACACACCACCAUACACACACAUGUACACACACCACACACACAAAUACACUAAGUAUAUGCACAUGUAUACACAUACAAUUAUACAGAUACCUCAUACACAUACACACAUACCACAUGCACAUAUAUCACACAUGCAAAAUAUACAAACACAUAUACUUCUGCUGAUAUACAUACAUAUAUACAUACAACAUUUGCACACACUGCACAUAUAUGCACACACAUGCCAUAUUAUAUCACACAUGCCAUAAUACAUGUAUUGCACAUGCAUAUACAACACAAAUGUACUUAUACACAAGUACAUACACCACAUACAUACAUACACAUACACACCACGUCACACACACCCCACACAUAUACCACACCAUCCAUAUCACACACACAUACGUAUACACACCACUCACACACACCAUAUCACAUACACACUACACACACAUACCACACCACACAUACAUACCAUAUAUGUACAUAUACUACACACACCACACAUACACCACAGACAUGUAUAUCACAUGAACAUACAACACAAAUGCACAUACAGACAAGUACACACCACACACACACUACAUACACUAUACACACACCACACCCACAUCAUACUAUACACAUUAUAUACACCACGCACACACCACACCCACUUCAAACUAUACACACUAUACACACAUACCACACCCACACCACGUGCACACACACAAGCACAAAUACAAAUACUACUCAUACCACACAUCUACACACACACAAUACACAUACACUAUAACACACACACACCAGCAAACCACUGGACACAUUCUGCUGCUUGGUCUUUUUACUCUUGUAUCUGUAAACUACAUGAUGAUUCCCUGUCAACCACUUCCUGGCUUAUGCUUUUGAAGCACUGAGCAGUUAGGCGUACACUCAUGACAUCGUGAAAGGUCUGGUCAGUCCAGUGUUCCCAGUGUCACAGCUGCCACCUCCUCAGGCCACCAGAAUUCACAGACACCUUCAGGACUGAGGCUGGAGCCGGAUGAUCAGAAAUAGCAAAGCACACGGUCCUCUGCCGUCUCAGUGCACUCAGGGAGACUUAAUCCCCAGCAGAUGCCAGCCAGCCUCGCUUUCAGAUUAGCCUGGAGAAGCUUCUGGGAAGCUUCCAGCUCAGCGCGCUGCUUUUCCUCGAUGAUCUCUGC